rnacentral:lncRNA from 1 species
UGGGACACUCCACUCACCACAAAAUAUGGUGACAGAAAGCUUAGUGCGAGUUGUUCACCUUCCUAGCAAGGUAUCUUCAUUUGGCCAUCUAGGGUAGAAAUAUCACUUGCAUGUGAUAUGAUGCCCAAAAUUGAAAGGAAAAUCCUCCUUAAAAAGGUUGUGUCUUCAAGCCUUCUUCAUCCAAUCUAGAGGAGAGAAAAAGAAUUUCAACCAGAGAGAAAACCAGAGAGAAAACCAGAGAGAAAACCAGAGAGAAAGCAAGAGAGAAGAAAACGAUUGUGUGUGAAGCUUGUGUGAGCAAGAAUUAUGACACCUUUCCUCCUUUGAAAGAUAAAUUAUUCCCUUGGUCUUUUAUUUCAUUACCACCUUCAAUUGGUAAUUUCUUUUUUGCUUUUAGCUAACCCAAACCAAAAGCCCUGGUGCUUUAAUUAAAGCUUUUUUUUAGAAAAAAAGAGCUUCCGGACUGUACAGGUAGUAGUCGACUUCUCCUUCCUUUUUCUUCUUUCUUUUAUAUUUCUUUUUAAUUCCUAGGAUAUAGAUAAGUGUAAGCCUCUAGGAUCAUCGAAACUAAACUGCAGCAGUGGAAUUGCUCUAGAAAUCCGCAGGUUCGUUGCUAACACUAUCAGUGUUGUCCAGGUGAAUUACAGAUUGUUCUCCUUGCUUAAAAACUUAAUUUCUUGAGCCUUUGGACAGCAAUUACGAUGUAAGAAUAGUGGUAAUCUAUCAUAUGCAAAUAAUUGGUUUUCUUAAUCCAUUUAAUCAGUGAUAAUCUUUCAAAAGUUGUUCAUACUUGUUGUUUCAAGUUGAAGUAAAUGUGUGUGUUCAUGCAUAUUUUGAAGUUUAAUUUGUAAUUUGUAUGUUAAGUGACUUGUAUUUAUGUUUCAGGAUGAUUGAUGAUGUAUUAAAAUGAUUAUAUAAGGAAAUUUGGAAGGAAAACACAAAGGAUGACGGUAAGGGGCCUGCAUUUCUGCUAUCUACAUUUGUCAGGCACAAAAGUUCUAAGAAAAAGGUUAGACAAAACUCUGCCAUGUGCGAUGCACCCACGGGAUAUUUUUUAGGCACCUAAAAGCCCCGAGACUAGGUCCCUUGGCACGUUUCAUAUGCACAGCAUGUUGCAUGAAGACGUGCAACUCUACCAAGUGCUGUUGUGUGCCAAUAGAGCUCGGGACAAGCACUGUUGUGUGCGGGAUUCGUGUCUUUAUGCCCAAAAAUGACAGGACAAGGGUCCCCAUGGCAUGUUAUUCUGCACAGCAUGGCUUGUGGCCCGUGUGACUUUGCCAGCCGCUAGGCACUAAGAGAGCCAAGUGAGAUAGGCACCGCUCUAGUAUGCAAGGGUGCAACAAAAGUUCCCCUUUAUGCAGGCUGUUCUUAAGCUGCUUCACAGAUUAAAUUUUAUAAGU